rnacentral:misc_RNA from 1 species
UAAUUUAUCAUGAAUGAACAAUAGAAAUUUUUUCUCCAUAUGAACUAGAUGUUUGAUGUAUUAAUUACAACAUUUGCUCUGCAAUUCCAAACGCAUUUAAUCAAGUUUGAAAUAUAGCUGAGAUGAUGUGUUUACCGCUUUUAAAGUAUCGCACAGGCGAUAUUAAGUAUUAUUAAAAAUAACAAGUUUUCUUGAAAAUCUCAAUAUUGCGUUCAUUUAAAUAACAUUCGGCCAACGAUGGCUAAUUUUAGGUGAUUACUAAUUAGCGAAGAUCGUGGUCCGUGACUAGAUAAGAUAAACAGAACUAAUAGAUGGAUUAAAUGUCCAAUUAUUAACAAAUAAAGCCUGUUUCAUAUCCAAUCGUUUAAACGACUCCAAAAAGUGAAGAGUUUAUCGGUUAACCUUUGCUGGAAUGUGUUACUUUAUUAUUCAACUUGAAAUUAAAUAAAUCGCUGUUGUUUGUCUGGUUUAACAGCUUGAUAAUUUUUUAGUCUCUAUAGCACAUAACAGUUAAGUUUAAAUGAGCAGAUCCAGUAAGUUUUAGCCCACGAUAGUGAAAUAGUGAAUUUAAAGAGCGUGUUGCCGGUUCCCGAACUAAUACGACAGUCGUCCAGACUACCUUGCAGAUCACCUUCCCUUGAUCAUCCGAAAAUAUCAUACAUUAUUGGUAAGGAAAAAGUCGAUUAUGCAACGGCCGCCGUUAUAUGCCAGCAAAUCGGGAUGACUCUCGCCACUCCCAUGAACCAACAAGAAGAAACUGCCUUGGUAGCGGCUUGGCGAGCUCUGGAUGGGGCACAGGCUGAGGGUUUUUAUAUAGGAGCGAAAAGGUGUAAGGGCUGUCCCACUAGUUUCUACUGGGAACCCACGGGAAAGCCAAUUGUUUACAGCAACUAUCUUGAAAAUCAACCCGACAAUUCACAAGGUGUGGAGAAUUGCAUCGAGUUGACUUCCACGCAUGGACUAAUAGGUUGGAACGACAUCAACUGUGGAGUGAAGCGAAAAUAUGCUUGCCAAUCACCCGGCAUUAUCCACUUAUAAAAUUUUUGAAGUAAAGUUAAAGUUUGAUAGUGCAAA